GUCAUUAUAGUUUAACAAAAAUAUUAGAAUGUGAGCCUAAAAAUAGAAGUUCAACUCUUCUUAAUGACC
rnacentral:tRNA from 1 species